GACGAACGCUGGCGGCGUGCUUAACACAUGCAAGUCGAACGGAAAGGCCCUGCUUUUGUGGGGUGCUCGAGUGGCGAACGGGUGAGUAACCCGUGAGUAACCUGCCCUUGACUUUGGGAUAACUUCAGGAAACUGGGGCUAAUACCGGAUAGGAGCUCCUGCUGCAUGGUGGGGGUUGGAAAGUUUCGGCGGUUGGGGAUGGACUCGCGGCUUAUCAGCUUGUUGGUGGGGUAGUGGCUUACCAAGGCUUUGACGGGUAGCCGGCCUGAGAGGGUGACCGGCCACAUUGGGACUGAGAUACGGCCCAGACUCCUACGGGAGGCAGCAGUGGGGAAUAUUGCACAAUGGGCGGAAGCCUGAUGCAGCAACGCCGCGUGCGGGAUGACGGCCUUCGGGUUGUAAACCGCUUUCGCCUGUGACGAAGCGUGAGUGACGGUAAUGGGGAAAGAAGCACCGGCUAACUACGU
rnacentral:rRNA from 1 species